rnacentral:rRNA from 1 species
ACGAACGCUGGCGGCGUGCUUAACACAUGCAAGUCGAACGAUGAAGCCCAACUUGCUGGGUGGAUUAGUGGCGAACGGGUGAGUAACACGUGGGUGAUCUGCCCUGCACUCUGGGAUAAGCCUGGGAAACUGGGUCUAAUACCGGAUAUGACCUCUUGCUGCAUGGCGAGGGGUGGAAAGUUUUCGGUGCAGGAUGAGCCCGCGGCCUAUCAGCUUGUUGGUGGGGUAAUGGCCUACCAAGGCGACGACGGGUAGCCGGCCUGAGAGGGCGACCGGCCACACUGGGACUGAGACACGGCCCAGACUCCUACGGGAGGCAGCAGUGGGGAAUAUUGCACAAUGGGCGAAAGCCUGAUGCAGCGACGCCGCGUGAGGGAUGACGGCCUUCGGGUUGUAAACCUCUUUCAGCAGGGACGAAGCGAAAGUGACGGUACCUGCAGAAGAAGCACCGGCCAACUACGUG